rnacentral:sRNA from 1 species
UAAAAUGAAGUGUGUAGAAUUUAGAUCAAGUUUAUUAUGAUGACAUAGAUAGUUAAACUGUAUUACAAAAUUGAAUGUGUAAGAUAAUAAUWUGW